rnacentral:rRNA from 1 species
UACGUACCGUACGAACGUUAUUCGGAAUUACUGGGCUUAAAGGGUUUGUAGGCGGCCUAUUAAGUCGGGUGUGAAAUCCCUCGGCUCAACCGAGGAACGGCGCCCGAUACUGCUAGGCUCGAGGGAGACAGGGGUAAGCGGAACUGAUGGUGGAGCGGUGAAAUGCGUUGAUAUCAUCAGGAACACCGGUGGCGAAAGCGGCUUACUGGGUCUCUUCUGACGCUGAGGAACGAAAGCUAGGGUAGCGAACGGG